AGUGACUGCUUUAGUUCGAUUUAAGUAUUACUUGGGGGCAUCGGGUAUGCUGAAAAGUUCAAAUGCAAGCAAUUGGCAUGACGGGAUGCUUUACACAUGCAAGUCGAACGGCAGCACGGACUUCGGUCUGGUGGCGAGUGGCGAACAGGUGAGUAAUGUAUCGGAACGUGCCUAGUAGCGGGGGAUAACUACGCGAAAGCGUAGCUAAUACAUACACCCUUCGGGGGAAAAGCGGGGGACCUUCGGGCCUCGCACUAUUAGAGCGGCCGAUAUCGGAUUAGCUAGUUGGUGGGGUAACGGCUCACCAAGGCGACGAUCCGUAGCUGGUUUGAAGGACGACCAGCCACACUGGGACUGAGACACGGCCCAGACUCCUACGGGAGGCAGCAGUGGGGAAUUUUGGACAAUGGGGAAACCCUGAUCCAGCCAUCCCGCGUGUGCGAUGAAGGCCUUCGGGUUGUAAAGCACUUUUGGCAGAAGAAACGGCCCGGGAUAAUACCCCGUGCAACUGACGGUACCUGCAGAAUAAGCACCGGCUAACUACGUGCCAGCAGCCGCGGUAAUACGUAGGGUGCAAGCGUUAAUCGGAAUUACUGGGCGUAAAGCGUGCGCAGGCGGUUCGGAAAGAAAGAUGUGAAAUCCCAGAGCUUAACUUUGGAACUGCAUUUUUAACUACCGAGCUAGAGUGUCAGAGGGAGGUGGAAUUCCGCGUGUAGCAGUGAAAUGCGUAGAUAUGCGGAGGAACACCGAUAGCGAAGGCAGCCUCCUGGGAUAACACUGACGCUCAUGCGAAAGCGUGGGAGCAAACGGGGAUUAGAAUGCCCUGAUCCCGCCUAAACGAUGUCAACUAGCUGGGGCCUUCGGGCCUUGGUAGCGCAACUAACGCGUGAAGUUGACCGCCUGGGGAGUACGGUCGCAAGAUUAAAACUCGAAGGAAUUGACGGGGACCCGCAAGCGGUGGAUGAUGUGGAUUAGUUGAUGCAACGCGAAAAACCUUACCUACCGCCCUUGACAUGUCUGGAAUCCCGAAGAGAUUUGGGAGUGCUCGCAAGAGAACCGGAACACAGGUGCUGCAUGGCUGUCGUCAGCUCGUGUCGUGAGAUGUUGGGUUAAGUCCCGCAACGAGCGCAACCCUUGUCAUUAGUUGCUACGAAAGGGCACUCUAAUGAGACUGCCGGUGACAAACCGGAGGAAGGUGGGGAUGACGUCAAGUCCUCAUGGCCCUUAUGGUGGGGCUUCACGUCAUACAAUGGUCGGGACAGAGGGUCGCCAACCCGCGAGGAGGCCAAUCCCGAAACCCCGAUCGUAGUCCGGAUCGCAGUCUGCAACUCGACUGCGUGAAGUCGGAAUCGCUAGUAAUCGCGGAUCAGCAUGUCGCGGUGAAUACGUUCCCGGGUCUUGUACACACCGCCCGUCACACCAUGGGAGUGGGUUUUACCAAGUAGUUAGCCUAACCGUAAGGAGGGCGAUUACCACGGUAGGAUUCAUGACUGGGGUGAAGUCGUAACAAGGUAG
rnacentral:rRNA from 1 species